AGUGAACGCUGGCGGUAGGCCUAACACAUGCAAGUCGAACGGCAGCACAGGUGAGCUUGCCCUCUGGGUGGCGAGUGGCGGACGGGUGAGGAAUACAUCGGAAUCUGCCCAGUCGUGGGGGAUAACGUAGGGAAACUUACGCUAAUACCGCAUACGACCUUCGGGUGAAAGAGGGGGAUCGCAAGACCUCUCGCGAUUGGAUGAGCCGAUGUCGGAUUAGCUAGUUGGCGGGGUAAUGGCCCACCAAGGCGACGAUCCGUAGCUGGUCUGAGAGGAUGAUCAGCCACACUGGAACUGAGACACGGUCCAGACUCCUACGGGAGGCAGCAGUGGGGAAUAUUGGACAAUGGGCGCAAGCCUGAUCCAGCCAUACCGCGUGGGUGAAGAAGGCCUUCGGGUUGUAAAGCCCUUUUGUUGGGAAAGAAAUCUUUCAGGCUAAUACCCUGGGAGGAUGACGGUACCCAAAGAAUAAGCACCGGCUAACUUCGUG
rnacentral:rRNA from 1 species